GCCAAAAUAGCUCAGCUGGGGGAGGGUUAGACUGAAGAUCUAAAGGUCCCUGGUUCGAGCCUGGGUUUUGAGAAAUGCU